CAACUCAACACAACUACAAUUCUGGUCAGUCAGAGUUCCUCGUAUCAGAGAGAGCAUCCUGAAUUUCAUUGCAUUUUAAUGUUUUAUGGGAGUUCAUCGGUACUGAUUGUCCUGGUUAUGAUAUUUACUGUCUACGUGGGUUGGAGCUGCAGGAAUUCUGACUCAGGAAACUGGCACAUGCAUCAGAAAUCCACAGACUAUUCACCACGUGAUCCAAAGCCGGAGACCCUCUACGCUGAAUUGGCCUUUAAUGAAGAUCUGAUACUUUGAUGGGACGAACACUCAUGAAAUGUUUUCUCUUAUUGGAAAGUCAGUAACAAGCGCUCUUUAGGAGUAAUUGAAAGAACCUUUCCUCGAACUUGUACUGUGCCUAUGUAUUUUAAGACCCAUUAACAAGAAGGUGGAAAUUUACCUCGAAAGAGCAUCUGACACAAUUGACUCUAGAGCGUGAAACUAUCGCCAGACGAAGAUUUCACUAUCUCUGACCAAUGUCAUUCUUAAUUAUCUGAUGAAUUCCCACUCCGAAGUGGGAUUGAUCAAAACAGAAGUGAUUCAACCACUAUUAAGGACUGUUUUGAUUCUUGUUUUUUAUUAUUCUCUCAGGUAUGUGGACAUUGCUGUCAAGGUCAAUACACAUUAAGAAUCCUAAAUGAUUAUUUAGAAGAUAAUACAAAGUUUCACAUGUAUCUGAUGUAGAUGUUGAAUGACAGGGAUAUCAAAGUGUCAUUUAAGAUGAUGAUAAAUAUGUUGAACUCGUGGCACUGGUAGAAUAACUGCAUAUUUAUAAAUUAUUAUGACGACAAGUUUGGAUUCGAAUGUCUGCUUUAAUUUGAUUUGAUUCAUUGUUGUCACACAUUCCUAAGCACAGUGAAAAGUUUUGUAUUGCGAGCAGGGAAGGCAGAUCAUAACACAGAGUGUUUGCAGACUUAGAAUUGAGGUUUGAAGUGUGGAAUGGUUGUAAAAAAUGUGAGAAUAAGAUCAGCUAUACAGAGCUCAGAAAAAUUCGAGCGAUGUCAAAGCCAUUUCGUAGGCUCCUCGGACCCUGCUAGAUAUAUCCCUGUUAAUAUCAAUUCUGGUUUUGGACAUUUCUUCUAAAUGACAUUUGUGAUCUCAUAAAUGUCUCAUAAAGUAGCAGAAAUCUGGAAAUGACGGUGGCGUAGCUCAUCCACUCUUUCAACUCAAUUUCUCUUCCUGUUCGUCGGUUUAGUUUCUACCAACUUACCUUUUGGAGAGUGGUAAUUCAGCCACAGCGGCAUUACGCUCAUUGAAUAUGGUGGUCGGCUGGAUGAUUAAUUACGAAGCAGUGGCUCAGGGCCUGACCGGGACUUUCGGGGAGUUCCCCAUGUUCAAUGUGUGGACCGAUUGUGACAUUGACUCCCAGCGUGGGCAACAACUGGAUCUAGGCUUUGACAGUCUAGUGCGUAACAAUGGCUGCGAUCCCAGGAGCGAGACCAGCGCAGCGAUGUCAUUUCCCCGACGUCUGCACCAAUGACGAGGGCAGUGGAAAUUGAGUCAGUGUGGGGGAAAGUUUGUCAAUCUGUCGAAUGUUUCGCCAUCGUCGGACCUGCAGUCCCAGCAU